rnacentral:rRNA from 1 species
AACGAACGCUGGCGGCAUGCCUAACACAUGCAAGUCGAACGAGACCUUCGGGUCUAGUGGCGCACGGGUGCGUAACGCGUGGGAACCUGCCCUUAGGUUCGGAAUAACUCCCCGAAAGGGGUGCUAAUACCGGAUAAUGUCUUCGGACCAAAGAUUUAUCGCCUUUGGAUGGGCCCGCGUUGGAUUAGCUAGUUGGUAGGGUAAAAGCCUACCAAGGCGACGAUCCAUAGCUGGUCUGAGAGGAUGCUCAGCCACACUGGGACUGAGACACGGCCCAGACUCCUACGGGAGGCAGCAGUGGGGAAUAUUGGACAAUGGGCGAAAGCCUGAUCCAGCAAUGCCGCGUGAGUGAUGAAGGCCUUAGGGUUGUAAAGCUCUUUUACCCGGGAUGAUAAUGACAGUACCGGGAGAAUAAGCACCGGCUAACUCCGUG